CAGGUCUGUUUUUAUUUCUCUGUAUAUAAAAAAAAGAAGUAUUCUAAAAUGGUGUGGUGGUUGUAAUGUUUUCUAAUGUCUUUGUAGUGGUUUUAACCUGUCUGGCUGUGUGGCUAUGCUAGCUACCUCCACAGAUGCAGCUGAUUUGUUUUCUCUUUCUCAUCAGACAGAUUAUUUUAUUUGCAGUGUGCUUCUGUGCCACUGCUUGUGCUUUGGAAAUUGACACGGUGUGUGAGUGCAGUUUACUGCAUAAGUGAACCCUGCCCAAACUUAGUGUGGCAAUAGAAGUGUUACAGACAGAGUACAGCAAAAAAGAAAUAUGUUUGCAAAGCCUUAAUUUCUUAUUAUCAGCUGUGUGCUUUCCAAGUGUCAAAGCCAUGUGCAUUGCAAUACACUAUGUUCUGUGAGUAGUGUUGUCAAACACAAAAAAGUUACAGUACUAGUAUAUCCACCAAGAAGCAAACCAUUUUUUAAGACAAAUAUAAGGUAGAGUGAAAACACUACAAUAACAAGUAUUUUAAAAGGGAAGAAGCAACAGCAGCAACCGAACCUUCUACAGAACUGCCACCAUUUGGCAGAGUUAGAUGCUGAGGAUAGGGCCAGUAGUUGCCAGAGUCAACUUGGAAAGGAACUGUUGGACUCAUUAUCAUCCCAAGUAAGUGUCCACCAGCUCACUCUUAUACAUUUUGUUGGAUUUGCAGACUAACAAAAUCACCUCCCUUGUUGCCCAGGUUUAAGGUGUGCUCCUUCCCGUCAGCAUACCUUUCUUUCCUUGAUGUCACACUGGUGACAGCCCCCAUUGCCUGGCUAUGGUGAUCUUAGUGGAGGAGGUCCAAACUUACUGGCAAUCAUAUUUGGUUCUUGCAGGAGCUGGGAAUUUCCACUGUUGCGUGAAGACAGCCAAUACUUGAGGAAGGUCAAGAAAAAACAAGGAUUCCCACACGCCAUCUAUGACAGGAUGUUGUUGUGGAUCCAAAUAAUGAUCUUUGUUAUAUUCAGAGGAAGCCCAAAUUAUUAUUACAAGUGCACUUGGAGAAGCGAGAAAUAGACACCAGACACCUGUUGGUAUUCAAAAUAAGCCUCUGCUGUUUUAUUCAUCAGCUGGGUUUUAUACAUUAAAAAGUAAGUGCUUACGUGCAAAUACUCAUAGAACAGUAAUAGGAAGGGAGUACAGAUAAGACAUAGGGAUGAACAUCAUGUACACAUAACAAAUAAGUUCCAACGUAAAAAGGACAAAAAGAUUAGAGAAGAGACAUCUCAGGUGGGGGCUCUCUGCUCCCGGAACUAGACAUAUAUGGUCUUAAGUGUUGUAUUAAGCAUCAAGCAUUUCCUUUCCUGAUUCCAGGUUAGCCAAUUUUAAUAUAGGGUAUCAUUAUAUGACACCUAUAAGCUUGAGCCUUGGAAUCAAGAUAAAUUCUAUCACAAUGUCAGUACUUGUUGGAACACCACUUUAGACAUGCUAAGAAUUUUGGAACAGCAGAUGGAAAACCGUAGUCUAUCUUGACUCCAUAGUCUAUCUUGGCAUUGACUCCCCACUGGGUUGUAAGGAUUGGAUGAUAAUAAGGGAGCUAGUGUCAGUUCCUACUCCACUUAGGAACAUGCCAGGAACGUUGAGCCACAGCAAUGUCUGUGUGGGACAAGUCAUCCCCUUGUUCAGCCACCUCAUUAAAAAAGGUAGAAUUAAUUUACUCCUGCUGCUACACCUUUUUACCCUUUUUUCAAAUACCUUUCAUUGUAGUGAUUCAAUUUACUGAGUCUUGAGGAGUGACUAUGACUGCUACCUCUGCACACCCAGUUGGGAGAAACUGGUAGAGCAAUUUGUUUUUCCACAUUGAAGGAUGGUCACAGAAGCUACACACUGGAUGUUUAGGAAAACAUUGUUCUUUUAAUGAUGGAAGGGUUCAGUGGAUGGUCAAUUAUCCAUUGACAUUUUCCUUACAAUUUUUUUUUUUUUUUUGCUUUUAUACUAUUAUUUCAGAUCCUGUGUGAAAUAUUGCAAAGCAUG
rnacentral:lncRNA from 1 species